AACGAACGCUGGCGGCAUGCCUAACACAUGCAAGUCGAACGAAGCCUUCGGGCUUAGUGGCGCACGGGUGCGUAACGCGUGGGAAUCUGCCCUUUGGUUCGGAAUAACAGUUGGAAACGACUGCUAAUACCGGAUGAUGACGAAAGUCCAAAGAUUUAUCGCCAGAGGAUGAGCCCGCGUAGGAUUAGCUAGUUGGUGUGGUAAAGGCGCACCAAGGCGACGAUCCUUAGCUGGUCUGAGAGGAUGAUCAGCCACACUGGGACUGAGACACGGCCCAGACUCCUACGGGAGGCAGCAGUGGGGAAUAUUGGACAAUGGGCGAAAGCCUGAUCCAGCAAUGCCGCGUGAGUGAUGAAGGCCCUAGGGUUGUAAAGCUCUUUUACCCGGGAUGAUAAUGACAGUACCGGGAGAAUAAGCCCCGGCUAACUCCGUGCCAGCCGCCGCCGUAACAC
rnacentral:rRNA from 1 species